CCUACGGGAGGCAGCAGUGAGGAAUAUUGGUCAAUGGACGAGAUUCUGAACCAGCCAAGUAGCGUGAAGGAUGACUGCCCUAUGGGUUGUAAACUUCUUUUAUAUGGGAAUAAAAUGUUCCACGUGUGGGAUUUUGUAUGUACCAUAUGAAUAAGGAUCGGCUAACUCCGUGCCAGCAGCCGCGGUAAUACGGAGGAUCCGAGCGUUAUCCGGAUUUAUUGGGUUUAAAGGGUGCGUAGGUGGUUCGUUAAGUCAGUCGUGAAAGUUUGCGGCUCAACCGUAAAAUUGCAGUUGAAACUGGCAGUCUUGAGUACAGGAGAGGUAGGCGGAAUUCGUGGUGUAGCGGUGAAAUGCUUAGAUAUCACGAAGAACUCCGAUUGCGAAGGCAGCUCACUGGACUGAAACUGACGCUGAGGCUCGAAAGUGUGGGUAUCGAACAGGAUUAGAUACCCGGGUAGUC
rnacentral:rRNA from 1 species